UACGGAGGGUGCAAGCGUUAUCCGGAAUCACUGGGUUUAAAGGGUGCGUAGGCGGCUUGGUAAGUCAGAGGUGAAAGCUCACCGCUCAACGGUGGAACUGCCUUUGAUACUGCCAGGCUUGAAUCAGGUUGAGGCAAGCGGAAUGUAACAUGUAGCGGUGAAAUGCUUAGAUAUGUUAUAGAACACCGAUUGCGAAGGCAGCUUGCCAAGCCUUGAUUGACGCUGAGGCACGAAAGCGUGGGGAGCGAACAGG
rnacentral:rRNA from 1 species